GUUAAUGUAGCUUAAUAAAAAGCAAAGCACUGAAAAUGCUUAGAUGGAUGCAAGCAUCCCAUAAACA
rnacentral:tRNA from 1 species